rnacentral:rRNA from 1 species
UACGUAGGGUGCAAGCGUUGUCCGGAAUUAUUGGGCGUAAAGAGCUCGUAGGCGGUCUGUCGCGUCGGCUGUGAAAUCCCGAGGCUCAACCUCGGGUCUGCAGUCGAUACGGGCAAACUGGAGUGUUGCAGGGGAGACUGGAAUUCCUGGUGUAGCGGUGAAAUGCGCAGAUAUCAGGAGGAACACCGGUGGCGAAGGCGGGUCUCUGGGCAUUACCUGACGCUGAGGAGCGAAAGUGUGGGGAGCGAACAGG